AAGCACUGGAAGGCAGCUGGCCAGGUGGUGCAGUCCCCAUGACCGAGGAAGGGUUCCCACUCCGUCUUUGUAGAUUGUCACUUCUUGGCACUUGGUCUGGAACACUUGAGUCCUGCCCCGUGUGUGAUGCUCUCCACUGUCUGCUCUCAAGAUGAGGAGCCCUGAAUCGGAGAUGGCGGGACGGUCUGUGCUGUCCUGGCAAUGUCACGGUCUCGGGGAGCUUGUCCAGCUAUCCCUUCCUCAGCCGCGUCUACAGCAGCGGGCGGGGGCCGAGCAGUAUGCUAAUUCUCACUGGGACCCAACCAGGCCUGGCACUCUCUCCCCGCUCUAUGCCUGACGGGUGAAUCCAGGCACCUCGGAACUCUGCUGACAUCAUGGAAAAUCUUAGCUGCGUGGCCGCAGAACACGCACUUGCCAAUUAGCAGAGAAGCCCGCAGAGGAGAGAGGCAGGAUCCCAUCCCCCACAGAGGAGCGGAAAUGAACUUCGACUGCACAGUGCGGCAUCAUUGAAGACACAGAGCUUGGCUGGGAUCCCAUCAAUCUGUAGACGCACACAUAGCUUUUAUUUCCGUUUCAACUUUAAAACAAUGAAACAGCACCAACUGUGGCAAGAAAUAUUUAUGUUUGGUAAAUGCAAAUUUUAGUGCACGCAUGAAAUAUUUUAUUGAAUUUGAUUCUUUAAAUGAAAAUUUAUUCUUCUAUUAAAAUUACUGUUAAAAAUCACAAAUCAAAGAAAGAGUGACUGUGACACACUUUACUGCUGUAUUAGUUCCCUACAGCUGCUGUAUCGAAUUACCAAAAGCUUGGUUGCUGAGAUAAUAAAAUUUAUUGUCUCCUA